rnacentral:rRNA from 1 species
GGUGAACGCUGGCGGCGUGCCUAAUACAUGCAAGUCGAGCGAACAGACGAGGAGCUUGCUCCUCUGACGUUAGCGGCGGACGGGUGAGUAACACGUGGAUAACCUACCUAUAAGACUGGGAUAACUUCGGGAAACCGGAGCUAAUACCGGAUAAUAUAUUGAACCGCAUGGUUCAAUAGUGAAAGACGGUUUUGCCGUCACUUAUAGAUGGAUCCGCGCCGCAUUAGCUAGUUGGUAAGGUAACGGCUUACCAAGGCAACGAUGCGUAGCCGACCUGAGAGGGUGAUCGGCCACACUGGAACUGAGACACGGUCCAGACUCCUACGGGAGGCAGCAGUAGGGAAUCUUCCGCAAUGGGCGAAAGCCUGACGGAGCAACGCCGCGUGAGUGAUGAAGGUCUUCGGAUCGUAAAACUCUGUUAUUAGGGAAGAACAAAUGUGUAAGUAACUAUGCACGUCUUGACGGUACCUAAUCAGAAAGCCACGGCUAACUACGUG